UGGAGAGUUUGAUCCUGGCUCAGAUUGAACGCUGGCGGCAGGCCUAACACAUGCAAGUCGAGCGGUAACAGGAAGAAAGCUUGCUUUAUCAGGCGUCGAGCGGCGGACGGGUGAGUAAUGCCUAGAUAUCUGCCUAGUCGUGGGGGAUAACAGUUGGAAACGACUGCUAAUACCGCAUACGCCCUACGGGGGAAAGGAGGGGACCUUCGGGCCUUUCGCGAUUAGAUGAGCCCAAGUGGGAUUAGCUAGUUGGUAAGGUAAUGGCUUACCAAGGCGACGAUCCCUAGCUGGUCUGAGAGGAUGAUCAGCCACACUGGAACUGAGACACGGUCCAGACUCCUACGGGAGGCAGCAGUGGGGAAUAUUGCACAAUGGGCGAAAGCCUGAUGCAGCCAUGCCGCGUGUGUGAAGAAGGCCUUCGGGUUGUAAAGCACUUUCAGCGAGGAGGAAAGGGUAAGGGUUAAUAAGCCUUAUCUGUGACGUUACUCGCAGAAGAAGCACCGGCUAACUUCGUGCCAGCAGCCGCGGUAAUACGAGGGGUGCAAGCGUUAAUCGGAAUUACUGGGCGUAAAGCGUUCGUAGGCGGUUUGUUAAGCAAGAUGUGAAAGCCCAGGGCUCAACCUUGGAACUGCAUUUUGAACUGGCAGGCUAGAGUACUGUAGAGGGUGGUGGAAUUUCCAGUGUAGCGGUGAAAUGCGUAGAGAUUGGAAGGAACAUCAGUGGCGAAGGCGGCUUUCUGGACCACAACUGACGCUGAGGUGCGAAAGCGUGGGUAGCAAACAGGAUUAGAUACCCUGGUAGUCCACGCCGUAAACGAUGUCUACUAGCCGUUGGGUUCCUUGAGGACUUAGUGGCGCAGCUAACGCAUUAAGUAGACCGCCUGGGGAGUACGGCCGCAAGGUUAAAACUCAAAUGAAUUGACGGGGGCCCGCACAAGCGGUGGAGCAUGUGGUUUAAUUCGAUGCAACGCGAAGAACCUUACCUACUCUUGACAUCCAGAAGAUUUAGCAGAGAUGCUUUAGUGCCUUCGGGAAUUCUGAGACAGGUGCUGCAUGGCUGUCGUCAGCUCGUGUCGUGAGAUGUUGGGUUAAGUCCCGCAACGAGCGCAACCCUUAUCCUUAUUUGCCAGCACGUAAUGGUGGGAACUUUAGGGAGACUGCCGGUGAUAAACCGGAGGAAGGGGGGGACGACGUCAAGUCAUCAUGGCCCUUACGAGUAGGGCUACACACGUGCUACAAUGGCCGGUACAGAGGGUUGCCAAGCCGCGAGGUGGAGCUAAUCCCACAAAGCCGGUCGUAGUCCGGAUUGGAGUCUGCAACUCGACUCCAUGAAGUCGGAAUCGCUAGUAAUCGUGGAUCAGAAUGCCACGGUGAAUACGUUCCCGGGCCUUGUACACACCGCCCGUCACACCAUGGGAGUGGGUUGCUCCAGAAGUGGUUAGCCUAACCUUAGGGAGGGCGAUCACCACGGAGUGAUUCAUGACUGGGGUGAAGUCGUAACAAGGUAGCCCUAGGGGAACCUGGGGCUGGAUCACCUCCUU
rnacentral:rRNA from 1 species